GUCUACGGCCAUGCCACCCUGAACAACCCGAUCCCGUCUUAUCUCGGAAGCUAAGCAAGGUCGGGCUUGGUUAAUACUUGGAUGGGGGACCACCUAAGAAGACCAGGUGCUGUAGGUG
rnacentral:rRNA from 1 species